AGUCUGUGAUGUUUGAAGAGUAGUGGACAGAUGUGAUUUCUGAGAAUUUUUUUUACCCUGAGACU